CGGGUGAGUAACGCGUGAGUAACCUGCCUUUCAGAGGGGGAGUAACGUUCUGAAAAGAACGCUAAUACCGCACAAGAUUGUAGUUUCGCAUGGAGCAGCAAUCAAAGGAGCAAUCCGCUGAAAGAUGGACUCGCGUCCGAUUAGAUAGUUGGCGGGGUAACGGCCCACCAAGUCGACGAUCGGUAGCCGGACUGAGAGGUUGAUCGGCCACAUUGGGACUGAGACACGGCCCAG
rnacentral:rRNA from 1 species